CGCGCCCCCGCCCGCCCGCCUGCCUGCCGGCUCCCGCGCCCCGCGCCCCGCCCGCGGACGCAGCUCGGCCCUGCCGGCUCACCCUAGCUUGACUCCCCGCGAGGGCUGUGGGGAGGGGGCGAGGAGGAGGAGCCGAGGAGGAGCGACGGGGAGGAAGUUCACAGGAUCAGAAAAUGCUGUGUUGAGAGGCACCGCAGAGGUCAACUGGACCACCUUCCCUUAGAUCUCCCUGAGGUUGCAGUACGUGGGCCUCUCACUGUUGCGGCCUCUCCCGUUGUGAAGCACAGGCUCCAGACGCGCAGGCUCAGCGGCCACGGCUCACGGGCCCAGCUGCUCCGCGGCAUGUGGGAUCUUCCCAGACCGGGGCACAAACCCGUGUCCCCUGCAUCGGCAGGCGGACUCUCAACCACUGCGCCACCAGGGAAGCCCAGUACUCAAUAGUUUAUGGGAGUACGACUGUCUUGGAGAGCUCUAGAUCUGCCCCCAGCCCCAAACAUGGGCAGGGUGGAUGCCACUUACAGUGCAAGCCUGCCUUAUCUGAAUGGAGAAUCCUGUGCCCUUGUGCAAGAGCCGACACGUGUGUUUCACAUUUCUUAAGUUCGUUUUGUUGUUUUGUUCAAGCCACAGGCUCAAGUGGGCUCAUAAUCCCCAUCCCAGACAGACUGGAAGUUACAUCUGCCAGACACAUUACUCGGGCACCCGAGUUCAUGCAGAGACAUUUACUUGUUCAAUUCCUGACUUUUAGCCCUGCCCCACCCUGCAGCUGCCUUCAAGUCCCAGCACUGAUAGACUGAGUAGAAGUGGGAGUCAGAAGAAGUAUGAGAACUCAGGACUGCAGAUUCAGAGACUGUGACAGGUUGUGGGAUGACUCUACCCCAGCCUCAGCCCAAGAGCCCUGGAAUUCCAGGACUUUACCUACCAUCACCAAGGAUAUGGCUGGCCACCUGAGACCAUGGGUGAAUGUGCCACGAGUGCCGGGAGGUUCCCAAACUCCAUGCAGGGCUCCUAAUUUGAAUAUAAGGAAGCAAGACUAGGAUGUGUUUCUACUUAUUUUAGGGAGUGGAACUCAAAUCAGUCAUAAGUACUCUGUACACACAGAGAGUGACUGUGAUGAGGCUUAAAGCGGAGGGGAAGAGCUAGUAAUAAUAUAGUACUAGUGAUGCUGAUAAUGACAGUAACUACCAAGCGUGAAGAUUAACUUUGUGCUUAGCAGUAUGCUAAACAUUCACUUCUUUCAUUUAAGCCUCACAAUAAUCCUAUGAUGUGCAUGCUAUUAUUAUUUCCAUUUUACGGAUGGAGAAACUGAGGCUUCAAGGCAUGAGCUGCUUUCCCAAAGUCAUAUAAAUGUUAAGUGCAGAAGUAGGAUCUGAAUUCCAGCAGUCUUACUCCAGCAACCAUACUGUGGAAGCCGGCGAUGCCUCCUUAAGCCCUGUCUGGGCUUGGAGAGGAUGUCCUCCCUGAUGGACCGGAGCAUGCCAGCCCCUGUGGCUGGUGUGGCAUUCUGAAAGGCUGUCUGGCAAGUUUUGCUUGCUCUGGUUUCUCACUAAAACAACCUUUGGAUUUGGCUUCCCAGGCGACUCACAUACAGGAAAAGAGGGCCAUGACCUGCCAACAUGACAGCUGUAUUUUUCACUAGGAACUUAAUAAACUGGCUGCCUGGGUUCACAUACAUACCUGUUUCUGACAGCUUGGUUAAGGUGAGCCCACCCCAGAGCUGAGGCCCACCAUGUGCCAACUUAAUUGAGAUUCUGGGCAUGAAAGCGUAGCCCCCAGCUGAGGCCUCUGUGCCAAGGAAAUUCCUCUUGGCCUCCUUUUGGCUGGUUUGGCCCGCCUUCCCCAGUGACAGUCUGGCUCUUUGGAUUCGAGCUGCCUGGUCAAACUGUGAGGGUCUGCAGAAAGAAGGAAGCAACAGUGCCAGGUUCCAGUGCGUGUUCCAAGUUCCACAUUCUGCCUACAGACGCCCGGCGCCAGAGCAAAGGCUGGCCCUUGGCAGUGGACUGCAGGGUGUGACUGGCCUGAGCCACUUAAUAUGGCCCUCAGUUUCAUCUGUGAAAUGGGUGCUCAUGGAUCGCUCAGCCCGAGGUUCGAGUGAGCUAACAAGAAACUUCUUCAUUGUACCCAUGAUGGAAAAGUUUCACGUGAUUGCUAUUUCGAAAACAAAUGGCAUCGUCCCUCUUACCUGUGAUCCAGCCCAUGCAGAGAGCAGGGACCCAGCAGAAAGCAUGUCGUCUCCAUCCCAUCAGGGCAGGGGUCCAACAAUGUUUCACCCAAACUACAAGCAACCUUUCCGUGACAACAUCUACAUUUCACAAGAUGGUAACAGACUAAGGUGGCCAGUCCUCCCAGAAAGCAAGGUCCAGUAGGUGCCCUCUACCUCGCUCUACCUGGUGAGAUGCUGAGGGUUCAGGGCACCUGCACCUCCCUCCACACGUGCCCGCCCGUACCCGGGCAGCCUCCAGUCCUGGUUUGCGGCCGCCCAGCUCCGUGACAGCAGUCUUUGGGAGGCAGUCUGCCCCAUCGCCCCUGCCCUGCCUGGACCGCCCCCCACCGAGAACCAGGGAGGGGGCUCUGUAGAAGGCAAGGGCCCUGGGGGCUUGAGGUGAGUUCCCAGUGGGUGGAAGGGACUUGGGGGAGACGGGGAGGGUGUGCUGGACCCCGGCAGCCGAAGGCAGGGGGAAGGCACGGGCAUCUUUUUGCUUUUCUCAACCAGGCUUCCACGGCCGAGCCAAGGACCCCUCCCUCCGUGUUGUGCGUGUGGCUAUUGUGCGGCUCAGCUCACGAGCUCUGCAUAAAACGAGGCACUCUGAGGGGUGGUCCGGAGAGCCACUGUGCUCAGGGCCCUGGACAAGCUCCUUCUCUCCCUGGCCGCAGGGCCCUCGGGGUGUCCUCCAGCCCAGAUAAAACGUGUCCCACUCGAGGCCUCACAUACCUAGGGGCGAGUCCCCUAAAGCCCGAGCUCUCAGAGUUCUGAGAAGGGCUGAGUGGAGUAUCAGACCCCUGUGGAGUGGGAAUUGGUGAUGGGGCGGGGGGCCUUUCGGGGCACCUGGCUGUCCCCUCCCUGUACAGCACAGCCUUCGCGGAAGCAGCCAAGGGUCUCUGCCACUUACCUCUUCUUGAACACGGAGAGAUGGGGUGCAGUGACGGGGGGCCCCAAGGGCGAGGCCCCCAAGGACUCCACGGGAUCUUCGCCGGGCCACUUCGUGGGCCCCACGUGUAAGGGCGGAUCAGGGGGCCACUGUGUGUUGGAUCUGCCCCCCAUGGAGGAGAGAGGGGUGCAGGUCUGGCCACAGCACUGUGGCAGGGACACCUUGCUCCCACCGUCAAAGAAGAUGAAGGACACAGGCCGCUGCUCGGGCUCUAUCUUCUUGCUUUCCAGCUGAUACUUGUCCAGGAGGAAGGGGCUGUGAGCGGCCAUCGGGGCCAGUGGCUGGAAGAUGUUCGACAUGGUACUGAAGGAGUGCUGGGGCGUGGACUGGGGUGUCUCCGGCAAGAGGCUCUCCUCGGGGCAGAUGGGACUGAGCUGGAAGUCCUCCCCGUCCAUGGGGAUGUAGGGUGCCAGGGUCUCCAGGUCCAGCUCAUUGAAGUCCGUCUGAGGGGAGACAGACCACAGGCAAAGCAGCUACAGCAGCUGGCGCUGCCUCCGGGAUACUGUUCCAUCUUAGCCCCUCGUCCUCCCCACCCCACCCCUGCCAGAGGCCUUCCUCCCGCAGCUUCCCGUGCAUGUUCUCCCUUGGUCAGCCUGUGCCACCAAUCCCCAGUCAUUUGAGUCUCCACUCAGGCAUCCUUCCACACACCCCCCCCCCCCCGGUGCCACGACCUCCACCCAGCCCCAAAUGCUCUCCUGUCUCCCAGUCCGAGCCCAGCCUUCACUCCCACACGCUGGGCAGGCACCACCUCUUCCACGAAGCCAUCCCUGCCCACUCCGGUGAGCACGAUGGCUCCCAGGGGGCCGAGGGCAGCUUUGUCUUCAUCACCUCACGUGCCCAGGGUGUAUCGGUGGACUGCUCAUAGGGUAACCGUGGCCCAGUGCUACCUGUGGGACCUUCAUUCUGAUCAACAAGAACUCAGACAUGGACCCGCAAGUUCCCACUACCAUGAUGGGCACCGUAGGGAAUUCUCACAAGCAGAAGCAGAAAAAUAAAUGUUUCAGCCCUCACUGGGGGAGGCAGCUGAUUACAACCACCUGAACUGUUAAAGAGCAGAAGCAGACAGUGAUAACCAAACACUAAGUAAUGAAUCUUAUAGGAGUUCAGAGAAGAACGUGCAGGGGAGAAACGGAAAGUUUUGCAGAACAAAGAUACAAACUGAGGAGGCAAGGCAGAAAUCUGGAUGCAUAAAUGGGGAUGAAUGAUUUUCCUUUGGGUUUUGUGACCCACAUACCCGUCUACCCACACCCUAGCCUGUUUACACAGGUUUUACAAGACGUUUGGCCUUACGUAAUAAGUUUCUGAAAAGUUACGUGUAAACAAAAAGUUGUCCGAUGUCAUUUUAAAAUGCAUUUAAAAUAAGUUAUUUCAAAGAAUCCUAAAAUGGAAAUGUUUGUAAAGGGAAUAAUUGUUCCCUAUGUUCACAGAAGUCGUAUACAUCGGGGUAUGCUUUUUAAAUGCAGGGAUCCUGAAAGAAAGGUUCAGUUGUAGUUUUCAUGAGCAUUAAGAAAUAUCCAAGUUAGGAGGACAUAAAUAUAUCGAGAGUUAAAAGUAGAAGAGCUGGAUUUGACACGGGUAAAGCAGAGGGCAGAAGUGAGAGAAGCAGACGACCACAGGCUCCGUUUCCCUGCACCCUCACCCAGUUGAGGGACUGUGGCCUGGGCCAAGCAUUCCCACUAGCCUUUGCAACAAAGGGCUGAGGCUGCAAGAAGAGACUUCAGCCUUCGCCACCAGCAGCUGGUAGGCCUGGCCCGCCACUCCAAUCUUCCCCACGGCCACCUACCUGGGUGCUGCACUGGUCUUUCGCCUCUGUAUCCAUGGCAAAGAGCUUUUCGAUCGCUUCAAUCUUCAGAUCGUCAUCCAGAGAUGUGUAAUAGUCUCCGGGGCUGCUGGGCUGGGGGGCCAGGAAGGAAGGUGACCAAGUCAAGGCUACGGCACUGGCUUCCCCAGAAGGCCAAGGUAGAAGGAGAAAUAUGUUUCUGGACCCACAGAUUCAACUCUAUUCCACGGAAUAAGAAUUUGUAAAGAAACCACGCCCUAGGAGCUGUGGGAGCCUCUCUGAGUUCAGUCUCCUCGUCAUAAAAUGAGGCUGCCUUGAACAGCAAACAGGAUAGAGGCAUGGCUGGCCGGGCUCUGCGCCCCCAGCAGGAUGGUUACUGCCCUCCCUGGGGACUGAGCUCGGGGCUCACAGCUGUGUGCCACUUGGCCCGUCUUCAAGGACCUGAUCACAUAGAUGGGGGUGGAUGGGUACUGAGAGCGAGCGCACAGCUCUAAUGCGUGGCAAGUAAGUAUCACAGCCCCCCAGGGGGCUCCUGAGUAGGAGGAGGGCAGGCCUUGGGUCUGGCCUGUCCGCUCAGCCGUCCGGCAGCAGCCAGAGGAGGAGCCCACCCUCUCCAUGGCCUCAACCCCAGGGGGCGCUCACCGUGGAGCAGCUACUGCUGCUUCUGCUGCUGCUGGCGGCACUGGGGGUGGUGCUCCCCGGGGCGGCUGCCUGGGGCACGGUGAAGGCGGGCAGGCUCCCGGCCUCCGUGUGGGCGCCGUGGCUCCUGGGCUCUCCGGCCCACUGCUGGCCUGGGGGCAGGAUGGCCUUACCGUAGGCUGAGGACUCCUCAAAGUUCUGGCUCCCUGUGGAGACAAGGGCCUGGCUUGGUCCGCACCCCCGACUGCUGGGCUCACCCCAGGGCAGAGGAAGGACGAAGGAUGCACAGGUGACCCUAAAGGGGCCUGCAGCGUGCCUGGGGCUCGGCCCCCGUGUGCUGAGGCUUCGCUGGGACAAAGGGGCCUUCAACUGGGGCUGGGGUUCAAUGUACAGACCCCCUUUAACGGGAACACCCUGCUGAAGCCUUUAAUUUUCAAAAACUAAAUGUAUUAGGAGCCACUCUUCCCUGAAGGGCAAUCCAGAACGCAGAGGAGGAGGUUAUGAAAACUGGGCAAUUUGCCUCAUUGCUGCCGCGAAACUGGGAAGCUGCGUGACUCCUUGUCCCAGGGCUGCUCUCUGUGAUUCGCUGAGAUCACCGUUCCCCGGUGGCCUCUCACAACACAACACCUAACGGGGCUGAGCCAGUCCAGAGCAAGCACAGGGUGGCGUAGCUGUUCCUUGAGCGGCCACAGCAAGGCUGGGGGGUGACCGUGGGUUGCAACAUGGGGAAGAAGGGGCUUCCUGCGUUCAGAGCGCGGGGCAAGAGCUGACAGCUCCGCUGGGGCCACCAGGACUCACAUCCCCGUGGGACAGGCAAACGUUGAAAGAAGUGCAUUCGAGGGCUUACUCCCGGGCCUGAAUCUUUUCUCAACCCACGUUUCUGGAAGGAUUUCUCCCAACAUUAUUUCAACCUAGCAGGCCUCUGCCUAAACAAGCAAUCUGUCCUUCAAGGUGCAGAUGGAGAUCUGCCCACCCUGUGGAAAGAUGCCCGUGGCCUCGGAGCAGAUCCCUCUCGUCUCAGGCUCCCCCCUCCCCACGGUGGAGAAUCGACCAGAACACCCCCACCCCCCACCACCCGCCCCCGCUCAGCGCUUUACGAGGUCAGAAAUAGGACGGGUCUUAUGCUGCGGUGAGUGCACGUGCCCAGCAUAGGGUCUGUCCACCAACGGAUGAUCAGCAAGACUCAGGGCAGGCACACGGCAGCUCUGCUUAAGGAAGAGCUGUGGCCAGGGAGGCCUCCCCCCGCCCCAAGAGGGUUCGACGGGCCCUGGCUCAGCGAAGCGGCACCCACCGAAAUCCAGAGAAAUGAUGGCAUCUCCUGCGGUGGGUGCGAGCUGCGCCAGCUCCUCGGGCUCCUCCUUCAGCUUGGUGAACAGGAAGUUGCUCUUCUCAGACGCAGCCACCUUGCCGCUGUUGUCAAAGAUGCUGUUCAUGGUCAUCAGGUGCGGCUUGAACGGGGACUCCGUCUGGUCCAUGGAGAACACCACGUCGUUCUUCUCAAUCUCACUGGUGGGACAAGAGCGAGCUUCAGACCGUCCAUAGUUUCCAGCAAAACUCUUUUACUCUCCAGACACAUGGAAGUCCUGAUAGCUAAGCCUCUCAGACAGAAACACGGGUACGGACAGUGUGUUGGCAUUCCGUAAAGAACCGUGCACUGGAAGUUUGGAGUCGUGGAGCUAGCGACGCGGAGAGCACCCACUGAGUGUGUAUCUGUCUUGGAUGCUGUGUUAAUAUCGUACGUGGGCUGCGUGGUGUGCAUGAGACUUGAAGGCUUUUGCUUUUGUUGCACCCCAGCAAGGACUUUCUCUAGAUUUCUUCCCAGGUGCUACCGAGCAAAGGUGUUACAUCUUCUCCCAAAAAGUAACAGUGGUUCUCUUCCCUUGGUUCCCAUUCAGAAUGCACUUAAGUGACGACUGUGUUCUAGCUGCCUCCCCACGUGGGUCAGAGGCAUGACAGAUGACAAAGGGGGAAGGGGCAGAACAAGCCUGUAAGGGGAAAUCCCAGUGUUUCACUGUUCCCAGGACGCCCACUGCAAAAGAGCUCGCCGACGUGGUGCCAGGUCCUGAAAGGCUCGGCAUUCCUGGGCUGCGUCCUCAGUCUCAGGAGCACCCUGCACCCCAGCCUGCUUCCCCUCCCCGCCGGCCCUCACGUGCUCACCUCAGGACGUAGUUCACACACAUGAUGCACUGGGGCUGCAGGUUGCGAGGGUUGUAGAUGACCGUCCCCUGCGUCUCCAGCCACACGUAGCCCCCGUGCUUCGCAAGCAUCCGGUACUGGCCACUCACCACCUGACCCUUGGUGCACACUAGGGGAGGAGAAAUGGGACCUGAGGUCAGGAGGUGGGGGAGGAAGACCCCACGGGGAGGGCAGCGUGCAGGGGAAAGAUGGGGGAGAAUGAGCUGGCUGGGAGCUUAGAGCAUCUCGCCCAACUCUUCAUGUUAAACAUGAGGAAAGUAACCAGAGAGCUUAACUGACUUCCCUAGGCUGGCUGUGAGGGAGUGGCCAUCGCCAAGCCCUUGGCAAGUUGGCUCACCCCUGGCUCAGCUGGGAGCAGAAACCAAGAGCAGCACCUGCCCUUCCUUCCCCCCCAAGGGAAGCCUCUCCAUGGGGUGCCCUGUGGAUCCAAAUGGGCACGCAGGGAACAGGCGAGCCUCCUCUGCCUCACACUACAGGCGGCAGGGUGCUUCCAAGCAGCGUGGACAACGCCUGUCCUCGGGCAGCCACUGGUAGCAGGCCCACCAUCGGCACUCUGCUUGCGAAUAAAGGCAGUUUAAAGAAACCCCCAGAUAUCCUCGAUUGUUCCAGGUCAUCCGUCAGACCUGCCGCCUUUGGGGCCACAGCAAGUCUGUGACCCACAGCAAAGGCAGCAAGUCCCCCGCCAGCCUCUACACACAGCCUCGCCAAAGCCCCGGUAAGUCCUCCCAGCCGCCCAGAGGGGCUGCCUGCGCAUGACUUCUUUCCUCUUCCAGAAUGCUCUAAAUGUUCAUUUAACGUUUGUUUUACUCUAUAAAAACAUCGGGGAAAGGGCCCGGCAUCCCAGAUUGCCCUCUUCCCCAGUCCAGAAUGCUCUAUCUGCUCCCAUUAAAAAAAGAAUCAACAAGUCCCUUUAAAUGAAAGUUUGCUAAUGUUAGGAUUUCUGAUAGCUUUCUGAACUGCCCAUUUACUUUCCUUCUUGGGAAUUCAUUCUUCUGAAUUCCAGUCUCAGAAACCCCCAAAUCACAGAGAAAGAAGCAUGCUGGCAGGAUUAGGAAAUCUUGGUUUCGGUUUUCCUCAUCUGCAAAAUGGGGUAUUGACAAUAAUAACAGUAAUGAUAAUAAUAAUUAGUACCCAGUGUCCCAUAGCUGUUUGUACUGAGGACCAAAUCUGCCUGCCUGGUUUAUCAGGAACAAAAAUGUGGCUGAAUGUCACCGACAAAUGCUGUAUAGGAAAAGCCCCUCUGCUCCAAAGUUACUAACAUGCACAGUGCCCAGGCCCUGUCACGUCUACAGGACACGUCUGUAGAUAAUGUCACAAGGGGCCCUGUGGGAGAACAUGCGGACUCUCUGAACGUCACAAACCUCCCCACUUUUCCGUGUAGGCUCGGGAAUCACUCCCCAUUCACCACUCUGUGUGGCUGAGGAAUGCAGCUAGGUUCCUACUAACCGUGCUUGUAAUCCUUCACAUUUAUGUUUUUCUUGGCAGAUUUCCUCCUGUUCAGAAAUUAACAAGCACCUCCAAGCUACAAGAAGCACUGUAACCAUACUACACAUAACUUACAUGUGUAUCCUGCUGUGCAGGGUUCAAAACCAUCUCAUAAGAUAAAUUCAUUUCUGCAAAGGAAUUGGAACAGUGCCUGGCACACAAAGCGUCCACAGGAUUAGUGUUAGCAUCACCUCGUUCACUGGACAGUGAUACCACGAGGUAUCUAUUAUUAUUCCUGUUUUCCAUCUGAAGAAACUGAGGCUUAGAGUGAUUUGCUGAAAGGCCCCCUCAGUGGAAACAGUCGACAGGCUUAUAGUCCAAAUUAAAGGGUCCUAAGUCUUUUUGGUUUUGUUUGCAUUUAAAAAAAGUCAACUUUGGUGAGGUUUAAUUUACCUUCAAUAAAAAAUGCACCCAUUAAAAAAAAAAUGCCCCCAUUUUAAGCACAGAUCAAUGAGUUUUGCCGACUGUACAGACCCUUGUAACAAGUCACCACAAUCAAAGGUAUAGAACUUUCCAUCAUCCAACCUCCCUAAUUUCUUAUACCUCUUGACAGUCAAUCCCCAUUGCCACUGAUCUGUUUUCUGUUGCUAUACAUAGAAAGGAUCUUCUCUCCAUUCACACGUAAGCGGGAUCAUACAAGAGCUCUUUCGUGUCUGCCUUCUUUUCACCCAGCAUGUUUCCCAGAGCCCUCACGUUGUUGUAGGUAUUCCUGGUUUGCUUUUCAUUGCUAAGUAAUAUUCCAUUGCAUGGAGAUACCAUAACUAAUUUAUCCAUUCACCUGUCAAUGGAUGUUUGCAUUGUUUUCAGUUUUUGGUUAUAAUGAAUAAAGGUGCUAUAAACAUU